AGCAGCCGCGGUAAUUCCAGCUCCAAUAGCGUAUAUUAAAGUUGUUGUGGUUAAAAAGCUCGUAGUUGAACCUUGGGCCUGGCCGUCCGGUCCGCCUCACCGCGUGUACUGGCUCGGCCGGGCCUUUCCCUCUGUGGAACCCCAUGCCCCUCACUGGGCGUGGCGGGGAAACAGGACUUUUACUGUGAAAAAUUAGAGUGCUCCAGGCAGGCCUAUGCUCGAAUACAUUAGCAUGGAAUAAUAGAAUAGGACGUGUGGUUCUAUUUUGUUGGUUUCUAGGACCGCCGUAAUGAUUAAUAGGGACAGUCGGGGGCAUCAGUAUUCAAUUGUCAGAGGUGAAAUUCUUGGAUUUAUUGAAGACUAACUACUGCGAAAGCAUUUGCCAAGGAUGUUUUCAUUAAUCAGGAACGAAAGUUAGGGGAUCGAAGACGAUCAGAUACCGUCGUAGUC
rnacentral:rRNA from 1 species